CGCGAAAAUAUUGUUUAAAUCUUUUGUUGGAACGGGAGCCAACAAAAUUGCAACAACAACAUACGAAAUUUCAAACACUUUAGAACUUGGAAAUGGUGUAUUGACGGUUACUGACGGGGAAUGUAUUCCAAUCAACUUCAAACUUGCUGCUAUUAACGAUGGAGCAUCUACCGAUGUAUAUGGAUUCGAAGAGGGAAUUCCAGACGCCACAAUCUUUGAUACGCCAGAUACCUGCCAGUAAAAUGUAAAAUUUAUGAAUACAACAAAACACCAAGCAGCGGAACCAAACUUAGCAACUUUAAAACUGAAAUAGGAAAACUCUAUACUAAAACUUAUUAAUAAAAUCAUAUACAUCCUU